rnacentral:snRNA from 1 species
AUCGCUUCUCGGCUCUUUUGAGCUAAGAUCAAGUGUAGUAUCUGUUCUUCUCAGUUUAAUACCUGGGACGGAAACGAUUCGUUUCCUCUAUGUAUUAAUCGGAUUUUUGAACUUGGAGUAUGGUCGCUGGAGCUUGCUCCACCCUGCUCACGGGUUGUCCUGGUAUUGCAGUACCUCCAGGCUCGGCCCACACCCC